GACGAACGCUGGCGGCGUGCUUAACACAUGCAAGUUGAGCGAGGAUGGUUCGAGAGACUUAUGUUGAUUGGGACAUUCAAGCAGCGGACGGGUGAGUAAAGCACAAGGACUUGUCCGAAAGAGAGGGACACCUGCGGGAAACCGGAGCUAAUACCUCAUAAGCCGGAAGGUGAAAAGCAGAGAUGCGCUUUUGGAGAGACUUGUGUCCUAUCAGGCAGUUGGUGAGGUAACGGCUCACCAAACCGAAGACGGGUAGCCGGACUGAGAGGUCGACCGGCCACAUUGGAACUGAGAGACGGUCCAGACUCCUACGGGAGGCAGCAGUGGGGAAUAUUGGGCAAUGGGCGCAAGCCUGACCCAGCGACGCCGCGUGAGGGAAGACAGCCUUCGGGUUGUAAACCUCUGUUGCAGGGGAAGAAGGAAGUGACGGUACCCUGCGAGGAAGCUCCGGCUAACUACGUGCCAGCAGCCGCGGUAAUACGUAGGGAGCGAGCGUUGUCCGGAAUUACUGGGCGUAAAGGGCGCGUAGGCGGCGCUUCAAGUCGUCUGUCAAAAGCCGAGGCUCAACCUCGGCGCGCAGACGAAACUGGAGAGCUUGAGAAGCAGAGAGGCAAACAGAAUUCCUGGUGUAGCGGUGAAAUGCGUAGAUAUCAGGAAGAAUACCAGUGGCGAAGGCGGUUUGCUGGCUGCAUACUGACGCUGAAGCGCGAAAGCCAGGGGAGCAAACGGGAUUAGAUACCCCGGUAGUCCUGGCAGUAAACGAUGUAAGGUGGGUGUGGGACUAGCGAUAGUUCCGUGCCGAAGUUAACGCGAUAAGCAU
rnacentral:rRNA from 1 species